CAGAUCCGAACUCGUACGCCAGCGGUAACCAAGUUGAGCCAACACGACAGAAACGGGAAUCUGACUCGGUGAGGGCCGUGGUCCUCACCGGCGGACAACCACCCUUUGAGAGUAGGUUCAACUCUCUACCGACAGCGGCGAGUUGGGGUCACC
rnacentral:other from 1 species